AAAAAAAUUUACUUGCCUAAAUCUUCUAAUCUUGCCAAUCAAAAUAAAUAGUCAAAUAUCCCUCGAGAAUGAUACUAGCCUCUAUAGCAGUAGCACACAUAUUGGUUGGAGAAAUCAUAUUAAAAUUCAUUAAAAAAAAAAAAAUUUGUAAAGCCAAAUCAGUAUUAUUUUUAAUACCUUAAUAUGUGAAGGUUUCCUUUCAAAAUCAAACGAUUUAAAUAAAUUAUAAUAAAAA
rnacentral:lncRNA from 1 species